rnacentral:rRNA from 1 species
GUCGAGAAUAAUUCACAAUGGACGAAAGUCUGAUGGUGCAACGCCGCGUGGAGGAUGAAGGUCUUCGGAUUGUAAACUCCUGUCAUCGGGGAGUAAGACCUGGCGGUAAAUAGCCGACAGGGUUGAUAGUACCCGAAGAGGAAGGGACGGCUAACUUCGUGCCAGCAGCCGCGGUAAUACGAAGGUCCCAAGCGUUGUUCGGAAUCACUGGGCGUAAAGGGAGCGUAGGCGGCGUGGUAAGUCAGAUGUGAAAUCCCGGGGCUCAACCCCGGAACUGCAUCCGAUACUGCCAUGCUUGAGGGUUGGAGAGGUAGCUGGAAUUCUCGGUGUAGCAGUGAAAUGCGUGGAUAUCGAGAGGAACACUCGUGGCGAAGGCGAGCUACUGGACAACAUCUGACGCUGAGGCUCGAAGGCCAGGGGAGCAAAAGGGAUUAGAUACCCGUGUAGUCC